AUUUCUUUUUGUUUCAAAAAAACAAUGGAAAAGCUAAAACUGUGAAAGUUUUGCAAUCUAUACAUUUACACUUUCAACUCCAAACUUAAAUAAUUAGAUAUAAUCACGACCAUGGAUUCUCUCUGUGAAGGCAAUGAAAAGAGGGAUGAUAUCUCCAGUGAUCCAAACACCAAGAAGGUUCGUUUUAAGGAUCCGGAGCCUAAUAGUGAUGACGUGAUGGUUGUUGACUUAACGUCGGCACCAACUCUGUCCUAGAAAGAUAUGGUUCUAGAGAAAGGGUCCACUGUUCCUAAUGGAGGUAGUGAUUCAAACAUUGCUGAUGAAAUUUAUUCCCUUCUUGAAGGUGAUGUCAAGAAAUCGAUAGUCAAUGGCAUUCUUGCGAUUGAUUUUUCUGAUAGAGUUCAAAAAUUAUUAGUCAAAGACAUGUCCACCUCCGUGAUUCUCAAGUUAUUGGGAAGGAAUAUUGGUUUUACAACUCUACAAAAUAAGGUUUAUGGACUUUAGAGACCAUCUCAACCUUUUUAGAUGAUGGAUAUCGAAAAUGGCUAUUUUUUAGCAAAAUUCCAGAAUUCGAGGAUUAUAAGAAGGUUUUAUCACAGGGUCCAUAGAUUGUCUUUGGACAGUACUUAAUGGUCCAGCCUUGGACAAUCGACUUCAACCCGAAGAAUCCCUAUCCUAGUAACAUUUUGGCUUGGAUCAGGCUUCCAGGACUGCCUAGUUAUCUCUACAAAAAAAGAGAUUUUAUGGGACAUUGGGGGAAUGGUGGGAAAGGCAACUAAAUUAGAUUUUAAUACAGACAGUCAAACGAGAGGACAUUAUGCGAGAAUGGCAAUCUAUAUAAAUCUGGAGAAACCACUGAUUUCAGAAGUUAUUGUUAAUGGAAAUCUUCAACGAAUCGAGUAUGAAAGUUUACCGGUUGUUUGCUUUUCGUGUGGUCGUUAUGGUCACUCCAAGGAUGUCUGCCUGCAUUAUCAAGCAACAAAUAACAAUAUGGGAGGUAAAGAUCCGGCGAUCAAAAAUCCACAAGCAGCCUCUGAGUCAGUGGUCGGAAAUGACGAGUUCGGCCCUUGAAUGCUGGGGGAGAGGAGGAUCAUGCGCAUCUCACGUGAGCAGAAUAAUCAUGGAAAGACUGGAAACAGGGAGGGAAUUUUGGGAUCAAGAUUUCAUGCCUUAUCCCUUAUCCCUUAAUAUCGAAGAUCGGGGGAGUGAUUUGGGGAAAGGGGAGAACUUUUCGGCUUUGAAUAAACAAGGGGAAGAAAUCAUUAACAUUGAUGUUGGAAAAGACACAGCAGGGGGAAAAAGUCUAAUGUUGGGUCACAGGUAGAGAUGUGCAGGGGGAAAAUGUCUAAUUUUGUCCAGGCCCGCCCGGGAAUAAAAUCCUAAGCCCGAGCCCGGCCUGGC
rnacentral:lncRNA from 1 species